rnacentral:rRNA from 1 species
UACAGAGGGCGCAAGCGUUGUUCGGAUUUACUGGGCGUAAAGGGCGUGUAGGCGGAUGUGUAAGUCGGGGGUGAAAGGCCAGGGCUCAACCCGGGACGGUCUCCCGAAACUGUGCAUCUCGAGAAAGUCAGAGGCAGGUGGAAUUCCAGGUGUAGAGGUGAAAUUCGUAGAGAUCUGGAGGAACACCGGCGGCGAAGGCGGCCUGCUGGGGCUUUUCUGACGCUGAGGCGCGAAAGCGUGGGUAGCAAACAGG